CUUGUUGUGGACAAAUAAAGUGGAUAUGAGCAUCAAUUCCUCCUGCCGUGAGAAUUUGUCCUUCACCAGCAAUCGCCUCUGUGCCGGGCCCGAUCACUAUAUUUACUCCUGCCUGCGUAUCAGGAUUACCUGCCUUCCCGAUCCCAAAGAUUCGACCGUCCUUGAUUCCCACGUCUGCCUUAAUAAUUCCCCAGUGAUCAACAAUCAAGGCGUUAGUUAUAACGGUAUCAACAGUUUCCGCUGACGAUAACUGGGAUUGACCCAUACCAUCUCG
rnacentral:sRNA from 1 species